AGAGUAGGCGCAGGCGGUUGCAGAUCAGUCAAGGUGACUGGUUUGAGGAAAGUCCGGGCUCCCUAAAGACCAGACUUGCUGGGUAACGCCCAGUGCGAGCGAUCGCGAGGAUAGUGCCACAGAAAAAUACCGCCAUUUUCCAGUCGCUUUGACUGAAAAAUGGUAAGGGUGCAAAGGUGCGGUAAGAGCGCACCAGCACAACCGAGAGGUUGUGGCUCGGUAAACCCCGGUUGGGAGCAAGGCCACAAGAAACUACGGUUGGUCUUUUACCAGUUUCGUAAAAUAGAGCCGCUAGAGGCGUUUGGUAACAAACGUCCCAGAUAGAUAACUGCCCUCAAAGGUGUUUUAAACACUCUCUGAGAACAGAACCCGGCUUAUGUCCGACUCUCUCC
rnacentral:RNase_P_RNA from 1 species